CAAGCAGCUUUUUAGAAAAGACGU
rnacentral:siRNA from 1 species